UCGAGGAUAGUCUACAAUGGUCGAAAGAUUGAUAGUGCGACGCCGCGUGAACGAAGAAGCAUUUCGGUGUGUAAAGUUCUUUUCUAUGCGAGCAGGUGCCGGGAGGUUAAUAGCGUCUUGGUAUUGAUAUUAGUAUAGGAAUAAGCAACGGCUAACUCCGUGCCAGCAGCCGCGGUACUACGGGGGUGGCAAGCGUUGUCCGGAAUUACUAGGUGUAAAGGGCAGGUAGGCGGAUUGGUAAGUUAAUUGUUAAAGGCCCAGGCUCACCAUGGGUAAGGCAGUUGAUACUGGCAGUCUGGAAGCGAGUGGGGGAAGACGGAAUUCCUGGUGUAGCGGUGGAAUGCGCAGAUAUCAGGAGGAACACCGAAGGCGAAGGCAGUCUUCUACGCUUUGCUUGACGCUAAACUGCGAAGGUGCGGGUAUCAAACA
rnacentral:rRNA from 1 species